GAUGAACGCUGGCGGCGUGCCUAAUACAUGCAAGUCGAGCGAACAGCCGCGGAUCUUGCUCCUCUGCCGUUAGCGGCCGCCGGGUGAGUAACACGUGGAUAACCUACCUAUCUGACUGGCUUAACUUCGUGACACCGGCGCUCAUACCGGAUAAUAUUUUGAACCGCAUGGUUCAAUCGUGUCUGACGGUUUUGCUGUCACUUUUAGAUCGUUCCGCGCCGCGUUAGCUGGUUGGUACGGUAACGGCUUACCACGGCAACGCUGCGUAGCCGACCUGAGAGGGGGAUCGGCAACACGGGAGCGGAGAAACGGACCAGAGACCGAAGGGAGGCAGCAGUAGGGAAUCUUCGGGAAGGGGCGAAAGCGUGAAGGAGAAAAGCGGCGUGAGUGAUGAAGGGCUACGGAGCGUAAAACACUGUGAUAAGAGAAGAACAAAUGUGUAAGGAACUAGGCGAGAAUGAAGGGUACCGAAGAAGAAAGCCACGGCUAACUACGU
rnacentral:rRNA from 1 species